rnacentral:rRNA from 1 species
GAUGAACGCUGGCGGCGUGCCUAAUACAUGCAAGUCGAGCGAACAGACGAGUAGCUUGCUCCUCUGACGUUAGCGGCGGACGGGUGAGUAACACGUGGAUAACCUACCUAUAAGACUGGGACAACUUCGGGAAACUGGUGCUAAAACCGGAUAGUAUAUGGAACCGCUUGGUUCAAUAAUGAUAGACGGUUUUGCUUUUACUUGUGGAUUGAUCCGCGCCGCAUUAGCUAGUGGGUAAGGUAACGGCUGACCAAGGCACCGAUUCGUAGCCGACCUGAGAGGGUGAUCGGCCACACUGGGACUGAGACACGGUCCAGACUCCUACGGGAGGCAGCAGUAGGGAAUCUUCGGCGAUGGGCGGAAGCCUGACGGAGCAACGCCGCGUGAGUGAUGAAGGUCUUCGGAUCGUAAAACUCUGUUAUUAGGGAAGAACAACUGUGUAAGUAACUCUGCACGUCUUGACGGUACCUAAAGAAAAAGCACCGGCUAACUACGUG